rnacentral:rRNA from 1 species
GACGAACGCUGGCGGCGUGCCUAAUACAUGCAAGUCGAACGAAUCGGCGGAUGGGUAAGUAACGCGUGGGUAACCUGCCAUUAAGUCUAGGAUACCAUUUGCAAACAAAUGCUAAUACCGGUUACUAAAGGAUGGCCCUUCGAUGCCUUCGCUAGUUGGUAAUGGAACGGCUUACAAAGGCGAUGAUGCAUAGCUGAGUGGAGAGACUGAUCGGCAACAUUGGGACUGAGACACGGCCCAAACGCCGACGGGAGGAAGCAGUAGGGAAUCUUACACAAUGGACGAAAGUCUGAUGGAGCAACGCCGCGUGAGUGAAGAAGGGUUUCGGAUCGUAAAGCUCGGUUGUUGGUGAAGCGGUAAUCAACCAGAAAGUCACGGCUAACUACGUGCCAGCCGCCGCGGUAAUAC